AAUCAACGCUGGCGGCGUGCCUCAGACAUGCAAGUCGAACGAUUAAAGCUCUCUUCGGAGAGUGUAUAAAGUGGCGCACGGGUGAGUAACACGUAAGUAAUCUACCUUCGAGUGGGGAAUAACGUCCGGAAACGGACGCUAAUACCGCAUAACGCAGCGGCAUCGCAAGAUGACAGUUGUUAAAGAUUUAUCGCUUGAAGAGGAGCUUGCGGCAGAUUAGCUGUUGGUAAGGUAACGGCUUACCAAGGCUACGAUCUGUAUCCGGUCUAAGAGGACGGUCGGACACACUGACACUGAAUAACGGGUCAGACUCCUACGGGAGGCAGCAGUCGGGAAUUUUGGGCAAUGGGGGAAACCCUGACCCAGCAACGCCGCGUGAAGGAUGAAGUAUUUCGGUAUGUAAACUUCGAAAGAAUAGGAAGAAUUAAUGACGGUACUAUUUAUAAGGUCCGGCUAACUACGUGCCAGCAGCC
rnacentral:rRNA from 1 species